rnacentral:lncRNA from 1 species
ACCCCAGCGCUGGCGGAGGGACUGGGGUGAGAGUGAGUCAGGGAGGGACAAGGCUUUCAUCAGUCAUCCCUGGUGGACCCUCCCAAGAAAACCCUAAGGGGUUCCAAGAGCCUCUCAUUGGGGAAGUGUCCACAGUUGGGAGGGUGACGCACCCCGAACUCCACAGAGACUGAAGCUCCUGGAUCCCACCUCUCGCACACCUGGCCCCUACUUCCUCAUCUGCCUGUACAUCCCUUUAGGAUCCACAGCAUCAAGAACAAGUACCCACCUGGAUAAGGGAAGGCUCUGGGACCCAUUCAGGAUGUUAUUGAUGUUUUUGGAGAUGACGUCCAAGAGGAAGAGUUGGCGUUGCAUGGAGAGAUAAUGAGCUGUGUGGUGAUCAGCCCAGGCCUCAGAAGAAGUAGAUAAGGGGCAACCUCAGAGCCCUUCACCCACUGGACGCCACUGAAGUUUGUUACGGACAGGAUCUCUGGAACAGGCACUACACCCCAUUGUGAUGUCCAGACGCCAGCUGGGUUUCCAGGGGCAACGGGGCUGCCCCAGUUCUGAGCCCAGGGGACCCCAGGAGGCAGAUGUGCUCUGGGGCGUGAGAUCCGUUAAGUCUGCCUCAGGAAAGCUGCAUCCUCCACACUGAAACCACACCGGCAUUAGGACGCUCCACUCAGCCUCUGGAAACACCCACCACUGCCUUCUCCUGGAAAGCACCUGCUCUAGUCCCUGGAGACUCGUAUUAGGGCAGAAUCCAACAGAAGAAUUCCGUGGUCAGCAGAGAAAGCCCCAUCUCAGCAUCCAUGGAGCAGGUGCAUCUGAGCACAAGCCUGGUGGACCAGCCGACAAGCCUAAGACGAGGGCACAGGAAGCCUGGGUAUUGCCCACAAACACUCCAUCCAGUUCUUCCAUGGCCUGCCUUGAGGUCUACCAAGCAUUUAAAAGUCACCUUACCUGCCUGGGUGCAGCUGCAAGAAGAAAAAAGAAUGCUGUUCGUGGAGUCCCUGCUAUGGCACAACAGGUUCAAUGGUAUCAAUGCAGCACCAGGACACAGGUUUGAUCCCCAGCCCCACACAGUGGGUCAUACAUCUGGUGUCAUCAUAGCUGCAGCCUAAGUCACAUCUGUGGCUUGGAUCUGAUCCCUGGCCUAGGAACUCCAACAUGGUUCAUAAAGUGGCCCCCAAAACAAACAAACAAACAAAAAAAAAAAGAAAAGAAAAAGAAUGCUAUUAGUUAUAGUUCAUGUGAGAACUCCAAAUGUUUCUUCUUUUUCAAAUUAAAAAAAAAUUUCUUUAUUUUAGGUUCAUUACAUUUAAUUGUGAAUUUUAGAAGAAGUGGAUUAAUUUUGCCUGAAAAAAGUCUUGCUGAGCUUUUGACUAGGAUUAUGUUCAGUCUCUAAAGUGAUUUGAAGAGAACUGACAUCUUGGCAGUACGACAGGCUUCCAGCCUAUGAACAUUUAAUCUUUUCAUUUAUUUACGGCUUUUUCAAAUUCUCUCAGAAAUUUGGGGGG